GUUGUAUAGUUAAGUGACUAAGCGUACAAGGUGGAUGCCUUGGCAAUCAGAGGCGAGGAAGGACGUGCUAAUCUGCGAAAAGCUUGGAUGAGUCGAUAAGAGGCGUUUAAUCCAAGAUGUCCGAAUGGGGAAACCCAGUAGAUGAAGAAUCUACUAUCACUUACUGAAUCCAUAGGUAAGUGAGGCAAACCGGGAGAACUGAAACAUCUAAGUACCCCGAGGAAAAGAAAUCAACCGAGAUUUCGUUAGUAGCGGCGAGCGAACGCGAAGGAGCCUGUUAGUGAUAAUGACAGAGACAGAGGAACAAGCUGGGAAGCUUGGCGAUACAGGGUGAUAGCCCCGUACUCGAAGUCCAGGUCAUGGUACUAAGCUAACGAUAAGUAGGGCGGGACACGUGAUAUCCUGUUUGAAGAUGGGGGGACCAUCCUCCAAGGCUAAAUACUCCUGAUUGACCGAUAGUGAACCAGUACUGUGAAGGAAAGGCGAAAAGAACCCCGGUGAGGGGAGUGAAAUAGAACCUGAAACCUUGUACGUACAAGCAGUGGGAGCCCUUUAAGGGUGACUGCGUACCUUUUGUAUAAUGGGUCAGCGACUUAUAUUUUGUAGCGAGGUUAACC
rnacentral:rRNA from 1 species